rnacentral:lncRNA from 1 species
AAUCAUGAUCUUGAUAAUUAUAACAUGAAGCUCUUUAUAAAUCAAGAUCGUUCAUUAUGCUCCCUACAUUUAUCAAAAAGGAGUUCUUCAAAUGAAAUGCAACUUGUCUUUUGAUUUCUUAGAAUUCAAUGAAGUGUCAUAUUGAUAUCUUGAUACUUGGAAUAUUUUAAAAUGUGAUCUUGAUAAGAAUGUUUCAAGUUGCUCUUUGUACUAUAUCUUUUCAAAUGAAUCAUGAGCCUUGAUAUCAUAUAUUUCAUAAUA